UUAGCAACGUUGAAACUCGAAUUGAACGAAGCCAGAAGGUACGAUCCUGCUGUUAGUUUCUUUUUUCUCCUUUUAAUAAAAUUGGGUUUCUUUCGCCGUCUUACCGAUGUUAUUGUAUAUCGGAUACGUAACGCGAAAGAAAAAGAAAACAGUUGUUUUCAUAGUUUUGUUAGAAAUAGUGACUAGUGCCUCAUUGAAAGUAUCGCAAAUUAAGGACUUUAAAAGAAUCAACGAAUUAUUAAAAUUCGUAUUAAAAUACAGGACGUUUCUUUUAUUUAAAUCAUCAAUGUUGUAGAGUAUUUACCGUCGAUGGAUGAACAUCGCCUCGGCUGCCGAAGGAACGAUUUCCAGUGAAUUAUCUUAAUAAUUAUUGGUGCCGAAUAACGAGGAUGGAACGGAAAUGAGAGAUCGAAUCUUCUGAUGGCUUCAUCAACGAAACGUAAAUAUACUAUAAUUUAUUUUUUACGCUUAUAUUAUAAUCUCGUAAAUAUGUUAGAAUUAAUAUGAUAUAAGUAAACGUUAUUUUUAAGAAACGAUUUUCGCAAAUUUUCAAUAUUAUUAGCGUCAAUAUUAUUAGCGUCUUUAUCGUCGAAAUAAUUCUCAUCUUUUUUUUUUAUUAAUAUUUGAUAAACGUAUUACGUCGUAAUAAAAGAACGUAGUAGUAAGAGAACGAAUUCGUGAGAACUGCGUACCUUCGUGUAUGUAAACAGACCACAGACACACAUAAUACACACACCAACGACGAGCUCUUUCAUGGAGAAGUUUCUACACAACCAAGAGGACCAACUUUUCGGGAGUAUCGAACCAACUCUACCGUUUCUCUCGGUGGUCCCUUCGUCCUCCACCCUUCCUCGUCCCUCCCCCAUCCCCAGCAUCCACCGUGGUCCCGGAGAACUCUACUUUGGUGAUGGUGUCCUGUCGCCUGUGUUGUCCGACUCGUUGCCAAAAUUUGGUAAUGAUUGAUGGCCAUUAAAGAGUGGGCCAACCUUGUUCGUAACCUUCGUAAAAGAUAGUUGAAACUUACACAUAACCAAAUACGAUGCUAAUUACAUUUUGAGAUCUUUCUUUUGAUGCAAAAUCGGACAAGAACGUAGCUACGAGAUGACGGUACCCUCGCCUUAGCUUGUAGAAAGAGUGAAAAGAAUUUAAAAAAAAAAAAAUAAUGUAAAGAACUGAAAUAAUUGAAUUUUAUAUAUUUUAAAAAUAUUAUCACGUUUCCUUUUCGUGUUUUAAUUAUCGUAAUAAAUAAUGAGUUAUUUAUAAAUUAUUUAGAUAUUCUCUGCUACAGAAGAAAAACGUCUAAAAAUUUAUGCACGUCAUUGGGUGAUAGAAAUACGAACUCAACGUGGAUAUAAUUAUCAGAACGUUCGUCAAAAUAUUCCGUAUAUAUAUAUUAUGCUUCCGAAGGAUUAUGAUUUAAAUAUUUUUUUGUAUUUCUUUUGAAAUAAGUUAAUGAUAAGAAUAAUCCUCAAUCAUUUGUUUUGUUUUCUUAUUUUUUUUUUUUAAUUUAUUUUAGCAUCUUAUUUAGUAUAUUAUGUAUAUUUAAUUUAUGAUAAUUAUUCUUUUAAUUUAUAAUAAUUAUUUUAAAUAGAUAGUAAUAUCUUUUUAUAUGUUCAUAUAUAAUAUGUGCGAUGUUAAAACAUAUCUUUUAAUAAUAUACGAUCGGCAAUUUAUCCUUAAAAUAUUUCGUUAUUAUAUCAGCAUACAUUCAAUAGAAUGAUCAUUAUUUUUUAUGAUGUUGCAUAUGUAUUUCUCUGAACGAUCGUAAAAUCGAUUUAAAUAUUUCGACGUUUAAACUUUUCUUUACCGUUACUAGCAAGCUACGAAGAAAGUGUAGGGCAAGGAGAGGAUGGGAGCUACUGUAGGGGGAGGUAGCGAGCGAGUCGAUAGAAAAGGUCAAAGGUUUCAGGUGUGUUUGCAUUUCGCCCACGGCUGCUACAGGUGCAGCCUCUUCCGCGGCUCUGCUCGCCGUUGCAACAGCAACAUGUAUGACUCUUUAUUAACAACAAUUAACAUUUAUCCAUUGUUCAUACGGGAAUAGUUUUCACUGGACACAAAAGCUUGUAAUUAGUUGUCCGACUCGUAAGAGACCGAGAGUACCGAGAGAGUAUCCCUACUGGAACCCCAUAAGCUCUCAUUUGAAAUCUCAUCAUCAUUAUAAGCUGACGUUAUUUUUCUUUUUUUUAAACAUUUACAAGCUACGAAGAUUUUUUUUCUAACAAUUUUGUUGUUUCCUUUGGACAAAAAUUUCUGUUUGAAAAAUAUUCGAACAGAUUUCGAAAUUUCGAUAAUUUUCUUUCCUUUUUUUUUUUUUUUUAAUAACUAUCCCGAAUUUUUAAGUAGGUACUUAACUACAUAGCGUAAAUUAAUGAGUUGUGUGAAUUGUGUGAAUACA